rnacentral:rRNA from 1 species
UCCGUAGGUGGAUAAUUAAGUCAGAGGUGAAAUCCUGCAGCUCAACUGUAGAAUUGCCUUUGAUACUGGUUAUCUUGAGUCAUUAUGAAGUGGUUAGAAUGUGUAGUGUAGCGGUGAAAUGCAUAGAUAUUACACAGAAUACCGAUUGCGAAGGCAGAUCACUAAUAAUGUACUGACACUGAGGGACGAAAGCGUGGGGAGCAAACCGGAUUAGAUACCCGAGUAGUCC